AUUGAACGCUGGCGGCAUGCCUUACACAUGCAAGUCGAACGGCAGCGGGCCCCUCGGGGUGCCGGCGAGUGGCGAACGGGUGAGUAAUGCAUCGGAACGUACCCGGGAGAGGGGGAUAACCGGCCGAAAGGCUGGCUAAUACCGCAUGAACUCGGAAGAGCAAAGCGGGGGACCUUCGGGCCUCGCGCUCUCGGAGCGGCCGAUGUCCGAUUAGGCUAGUUGGUGGGGUAAAGGCCCACCAAGGCGACGAUCGGUAGCGGGUCUGAGAGGACGAUCCGCCACACUGGGACUGAGACACGGCCCAGACUCCUACGGGAGGCAGCAGUGGGGAAUCUUGGACAAUGGGCGCAAGCCUGAUCCAGCAAUGCCGCGUGGGUGAAGAAGGCCUUCGGGUUGUAAAGCCCUUUCGGCGGGGAAGAAAUCGGUCAGGCGAAUAGUCUGGCCGGAUGACGGUACCCGCAGAAGAAGCACCGGCUAACUACGUG
rnacentral:rRNA from 1 species